GUGAAUCAUCAAAUUUUUGAACGCAAAUUGCGCUUCCUGGCAUCCCGGGGAGUAUGCCUGUUUGAGGGUCAGUAUUAAUAAAAAAUCGGUUUGGUUGCAAAUUGUGACGUUUCCGGAGUUUGGGCUAUCUUAACCUUUUUGGUUAAGGGGCUUAAAAUUGACCUUUUUUGCGCAUUUUUAGACGUACAUAAAUUUUUUUUUUAUUCAUAUAUCCUAAUUCCCAAAAUUUACUUA
rnacentral:misc_RNA from 1 species